CUUUCUUUGCUGACGAGCGGCGGACGGGUGAGUAAUGCCUGGGAAAUUGCCCUGAUGUGGGGGAUAACCAUUGGAAACGAUGGCUAAUACCGCAUGAUGCCUACGGGCCAAAGAGGGGGACCUUCGGGCCUCUCGCGUCAGGAUAUGCCCAGGUGGGAUUAGCUAGUUGGUGAGGUAAUGGCUCACCAAGGCGACGAUCCCUAGCUGGUCUGAGAGGAUGAUCAGCCACACUGGAACUGAGACACGGUCCAGACUCCUACGGGAGGCAGCAGUGGGGAAUAUUGCACAAUGGGCGCAAGCCUGAUGCAGCCAUGCCGCGUGUAUGAAGAAGGCCUUCGGGUUGUAAAGUACUUUCAGUGGUGAGGAAGGGAGUGUGGUUAAUAGCCAUAUUCUUUGACGUUAGCCACAGAAGAAGCACCGGCUAACUCCGUGCCAGCAGCCGCGGUAAUACGGAGGGUGCGAGCGUUAAUCGGAAUUACUGGGCGUAAAGCGCAUGCAGGUGGUUUGUUAAGUCAGAUGUGAAAGCCCGGGGCUCAACCUCGGAGUUGCAUUUGAAACUGGCAGGCUAGAGUACUGUAGAGGGGGGUAGAAUUUCAGGUGUAGCGGUGAAAUGCGUAGAGAUCUGAAGGAAUACCGGUGGCGAAGGCGGCCCCCUGGACAGAUACUGACACUCAGAUGCGAAAGCGUGGGGAGCAAACAGGAUUAGAUACCCUGGUAGUCCACGCUGUAAACGAUGUCUACUUGGAGGUUGUGGCCUUGAGCCGUGGCUUUCGGAGCUAACGCGUUAAGUAGACCGCCUGGGGAGUACGGUCGCAAGAUUAAAACUCAAAUGAAUUGACGGGGGCCCGCACAAGCGGUGGAGCAUGUGGUUUAAUUCGAUGCAACGCGAAGAACCUUACCUACUCUUGACAUCCAGAGAAUCCUGCGG
rnacentral:rRNA from 1 species